GGUGGCUCAGUUGGUAGAGUGCUUGCCUUGCAUGCAUGAGGCCCUGGGUUUGAUUCCUCAGCACCA
rnacentral:tRNA from 1 species